GCUAAAAGCAGAGAAGGGGAAGCUCUGGAACCUUCAUCGUCUCCUUCGUCUCCUUCCUUUCUUCCUCCACCAUUUUCCAGACAUCGUUGGCUUGCGUGAGUAGUGAUUCUGGCGCUUGAUGCACAAGAUGCGAAGCACAAAAUUUUUCUUCUCUUCAUAGCUUUGAGUCACCAUAAAACGCAGCUGGGGGUGUUCUGUCACACUCAGAAUCUUGCUGCUGUCAUCGGAGAGCUGAACGGAUCUGGAUCUUCCUUCUGUGCGUCCUUCUUCUCCGUUUCUAUUUCGUUUCUAUUUCGAUUGGCAUUACCGUCGAUCACUGCCGAGGCGAGGUAUCGUAGCUGCAUCUGUUAAUUGAGCAUUUUCUUUCCUUUCCUCUUCUCAGUUCGAUUGCACAGGGUCUGCCCAUGAUGCUCUUUUUCUGUUCUGUUUUUGCUGAGUUGAGAUUUAUUAAUUGACGAUGAUCCUACUGCUUACCUCUGAGGGGCAUACAUCUGUUUUGGGCGGAGUUUUGCCUAGCAUUACCUCCUUCUAAUGUCAAUAUUUGAAUUCAUGUAUUUUGUUUUGAAAGUAAGGUUAGUUGCUCCACAUAGCAUAUAGCUAGGUUUCUAAUUUGAUAUAUGUUAUCUGCUAGUUGGAAGGAGCUAAGCUCCUGAUUGAUAUUAUAUUUUAUGUAAAAUUAUUGCGUUAUAGAAUUUUGGGAAGAUUCCAUUCUUA